rnacentral:lncRNA from 1 species
UUCUUGCUCUCGUGCUGGAUGUCAUAUCGGCAUAUCGGUCGGUUUAAGAUGAAUCUGAGGGAAGGAGAAAUCCUCCAUUAGCCGUUGACCUUUGAUUCUCUUCUCUGAACUUAACUUAGGCUAAGAUUGAGUUGAAUCCGCCUCUCUUCCUCCUCAGCUCGAGUUUCUGUUGCUCUUGAAGCCCUUUCUUUCUGGCUUCCUUGAGUCAGCUCGGUAGCUAGUCUAGUAAAAUAGCCUUUCUUCUCUUCCCUUAACUUAAUAGGGGUUGCUCCUUCUUCUCGUCCACUCGGGAAUGAAGCCUUACCCUUCGCUACUAACCUGUUAAAUGGAGUUGAGCUGGCUACAAAAUCCAUUGCUUCAGUGAUGGUUGCUUCCUCAAAUCAAAGAUGGGUGGCAGGGUCUUGAGAAAGAGUCCACUGCUGUC